rnacentral:misc_RNA from 1 species
AAGCAGAGUGCCGACGCUCAACGCUCAGUUCGCGAAAAAAAAACUCAGAGGGAUGCGGUCGGUUCGGUCACGCGAGUGUUGGUGCAAAAAAGGUAAAGAAAGGAAAACUUUAGAAAAAUGCAAUAAAUAUUGCACAAAAUAUUAGGAACAUUUUCGCCGAAGGCAUUUCUCGUUAAACGAAAGAAAAGUAGCUUGCCCUCUGUAUGCUUUAAGCUGUGACGCCCUUAGCUGCUGUAUGCUUUAAGCUGUGACGCCUGGCCAGUACACGGAUUAAAUUAUUUGCGCAAUUAAAUCAAUAAUGCGAAUGCUUUUCUGCAUAUAAGUGAUUAAUAAUCCUAUAAUAAUGUUUUCAAAUCAGCAGCAGAUCAAAAAGGAGGGAAUGCAGAAAUGGAGAGCAAAAAGUGAAAAAAGCCGCAGAUAGCCUGGAAGCAGUAUGAAAAGCAGUGGCGAAGGUUAUGAAAAAACGAAGGAAAAGGAAGUAGCAUAAAAUGAGAGAGGAAGCAAGGGUGGGAGAAGUGAAGUGCAAGUGAAGUCAAGUGCAAGUGAAGUUCAGUGCAGUGCAAGUGAAUAGAUGGGAAAGCAAUAGGAACUAGAAAAAGCAAUACUGGAAUAUCAGUAAAUGAAAAUUAUAAACAUUUUUACCUUUUUUCGAGUGUUAUACAGUGUUAUAUAAAAUCAAAUUUCACCAUUUCGAGUGUAUAUGAAAGCGAAAUAAGUGAGAAGGGAGAAAAGCGUCGCAAAAGAAAGCAGUAUAAAAGUGAAAGAAUGAGAAGCAAAGCCGAAAAAAGUGUAGUGAAGGGAAAGAAGGAGGAUCAGUAAAGCAACAAGGAGCAAGGGUGCAUAUUUUCCAAAACGAAAGCGAAAAAUGUGCAUCACAUUGUUAUACAAAGUGAAGCGAAACUGGAUGAAGAAAAAGCUUUUCCUGGCACAUGUGAGUUUUCUUCACAGUGCAAUCCAUACGCACACUCGUAUUCCCCAGACAAUAAUUACCGCAGCCAUCAAAUUUGCCAUCUCUAGGCCCAAUCCUUUCCAUUCCGUCCAUCACGGUGCCAUCUCUAGGCUCAAAAUUCAAUGGCGUCAAGCGGUUGGUGUUGGAGGCGGAACUGCGGUUGAAAUUAAAAAGGAAUUUCACCAAAUUGCUAUUGAAGCCGCGUGAAAAACGGGGUGGGCGGUUUGCGGUUUAUUUGGGCAAAGUGCCAGACCAAAGAACCGGACGGAACCGAACAGUGGGAGGGAGAAAGAGAGAGGGAAC